GAUUUCUCACUGCCUAUAAAAGCCUCUAGAUAGCAAACAGGUGCUCGUAUCCCACACUGACACAGGUAGUCAAGAAUAGAAUUCGUAGGUGAGCGUGCGCAUUCUCGUAAAGGUACUCGGAACAAUGACCAUGUAACUUCGGGAGAAGGGUUGCUCUUUAGGGUUAAUGAUCAGAAGAGUCGCAGAGACGAGGUUCACUGCCCGGUUUACACUAACACCAGGUCUAUUUAACACUGUAA
rnacentral:rRNA from 1 species